rnacentral:rRNA from 1 species
UACGGAGGGGGCAAGCGUUGUUCGGAAUUACUGGGCGUAAAGAGUACGUAGGCGGAUUGUUAAGUUAGAGGUGAAAUCCCAGGGCUCAACCCUGGAACUGCCUUUAAUACUGGCAAUCUAGAGAUCGAGAGAGGUGAGUGGAAUUUCCAGUGUAGAGGUGAAAUUCGUAGAUAUUGGAAAGAACACCAGUGGCGAAGGCGGCUCACUGGCUCGAUACUGACGCUGAGGUACGAAAGCGUGGGGAGCAAAC